rnacentral:rRNA from 1 species
UACGUAGGGUGCAAGCGUUAAUCGGAAUUACUGGGCGUAAAGCGUGCGCAGGCGGUUCGGAAAGAGAGGUGUGAAAUCCCAGGGCUUAACCUUGGAGCUGCACUUCUAACUACCGGGCUAGAGUACGUCAGAGGGGGGUAGAAUUCCACGUGUAGCAGUGAAAUGCGUAGAGAUGUGGAGGAAUACCGAUGGCGAAGGCAGCCCCCUGGGAUGAUACUGACGCUCAUGCACGAAAGCGUGGGGAGCAAACAGG